CUGCGGCCUAUCAGUUUGUUGGUGAGGUAAUGGCCCACCAAGACUAUUACAGGUACGGGCUCUGAGAGGAGUAGCCCGGAGAUGGGUACUGAGACACGGACCCAGGCCCUAUGGGGCGCAGCAGGCGAGAAAACUUUGCAAUGUGCGAAAGCACGACAAGGUUAAUCCGAGUGGUUUCUGCUAAAGGAACCUUUUGUCGGUCCUAGAAACACCGAUGAAUAAGGGGUGGGCAAGUUCUGGUGUCAGCCGCCGCGGUAAAACCAGCACCUCAAGUGGUCAGGAUGAUUAUUGGGCCUAAAGCAUCCGUAGCCGGCUCUGUAAGUUUUCGGUUAAAUCUGUACGCUUAACGUACAGGCUGCCGGGAAUACUGCAGAGCUAGGUAGUGGGAGAGGUAGACGGUACUCGGUAGGAAGGGGUAAAAUCCUUUGAUCUAUUGAUGACCACCUGUGGCGAAGGCGGUCUACCAGAACACGU
rnacentral:rRNA from 2 species